CAAAAAGACAGUCUGGUGUUUCUGAAGGAGGAAGCUGAUGGGAAGAGGAGGGUUAGUGAUGAAGAUAAAGCACUCUCAGUGACAGACGCUGCCUUGCCGAUUGAAACAUUUGAUCACCACUUUUUGAUGAACACGCUGUGGAGAGAAACAUCUGCCAUUAAGUGAGGUAAAACCUGUC